rnacentral:rRNA from 1 species
GAUGAACGCUGGCGGCGUGCCUAAUACAUGCAAGUCGAACGAAACUUCUUUAUCACCGAGUGCUUGCACUCACCGAUAAAGAGUUGAGUGGCGAACGGGUGAGUAACACGUGGGCAACCUGCCCAAAAGAGGGGGAUAACACUUGGAAACAGGUGCUAAUACCGCAUAACCAUAGUUACCGCAUGGUAACUAUGUAAAAGGUGGCUAUACUACCGCUUUUGGAUGGGCCCGCGGCGCAUUAGCUAGUUGGUAGGGUAAAGGCUUACCAAGGCAAUGAUGCGUAGCCGAAUUGAGAGGUUGAUCGGCCACAUUGGGAAUGAGACACGGCCCAAACUCCUACGGGAGGCAGCAGUAGGGAAUCUUCCACAAUGGGCGAAAGCCUGAUGGAGCAACGCCGCGUGGGUGAAGAAGGUCUGCGGAUCGUAAAACCCUGUUGUUAGAGAAGAAAGUGCGUGAGAGUAACUGUUCACGUUUCGACGGUAUCUAACCAGAAAGCCACUGCUAACUACGU